rnacentral:rRNA from 1 species
AUGGACGAUAGCAACAUGGACUUGACAAUUGACGCCAUGUGGUUGUUCCUAGCUAUUUUUCUCAUCACUGCAAUAAUCAUUAAGGUUGCAAAUGCAAGAGUUACCUCCGAUCCAGGGUGUACACGAUCACCUCCACCUAUGCUCAAUAUAAUUGCUCUCCUAAAACUCUUACCUACCUUGUGUACAAAGGGCCCCGAAGUUACAAUGACCUAUCUAUAUAACAAGUUUGGUAGUGUGUUCACAAUAAGUUUUCUUUGGAAAAGAAUAAGCUUCUUGGUUGGGCCAGAGGUCUCUGGUCUUUUCUUUCAAGGUUCGGAGUCCGAGGUUUCCCAAGGUAAUACGUUUGAGUUCACUGUGCCCAUGUUUGGCCUGGAGAACGGAUUUGCCGUAGAUUACAGCACCCGAAUCCAGGAGAUUCACUUCUUCAUUGACGCUCUAAGGCCAUCGCAGCUGAGGAGCCAUGUUGACCCCAUGCUUCGUGAAGUGGAGGACUACUUUGCGAAAUGGGGAGAAGAGGGGGUAGUCGAUCUGAAAGAUGAGCUCAACCAGAUACUCAUGUUGAUCGCAAGUCAAUGCUUACUUGGAAAUGAGGUUAGAGAAAAGCUAUUUGGUGAGAUUUACACAUUGUUUAGUGGAAUCGAAGGGGGGGUGAACUUGGUGAGUUUCAUGCUCCCAUAUUUCCCUGUUCCGGCAAACCACCGACGAGACAAAGCACGAAUCAGACUUACAGAGAUUGUUUAUGAUAUUAUGAGGUCAAGAAAGACAUGCGGCCGUGUCGAGCAAGAUGUCCUCCAGAAAUUGAUGGACUCUAGGUAUAAAGACGGUCAUCGUACAACAGAAGCGGCGGUCGCCGGGAUGAUCAUCGCAUUGAUAUUUGCUGGAAAACACACAAGCUCAAUUGUAUCCACCUGGACAGGAGCUUGCCUAUUGACCCAUACAAAGUUUUUAGAUGUUGUUGUGGAAGAGCAAAGGGAAAUAAUGAGAAAAUAUAAGGACAAGAUAGACUAUAAUGUCUUGUCAAAGAUGGAGACAUUGCAUAGUUCUAUCAAAGAGGCAGGACGCAUGCAUCCAGCGACACUAGGUUUGAUUCGCCAAACACAAAAGAAUAUCACUGUGAGGACAAAAGAAGGAACUGAAUAUGGCAUCCCGAAAGGUGACACCUUAGUAAAUCUUGUAAUGCUAACCAGUAAGUUAUCACACAUUUACAAGGACCCUGAAGUGUAUGACCCAUACCGUUUUCGUCCUGGAAGAGAGGAGGAUAAAGUUGGUGGUAAAUUCUCAUACGCAAUAUUUGGCGGUGGAAGCCAUGUUUGUCCCGGGGAGGCCUAUGCUUUCUUGCAAAUUAAAAUUAUAUGGAGCCAUUUGCUGAGAAAUUUUGAACUCAAACUCACUUCUCCUUUUCCCAAGACAGAUUGGAGCAAGUUCAUGUUAGAGCCUAAAGGGAAAGUGCUGGUAAACUAUAAGAGACGUCAUCUGGAAAGCAACUGA